UGGGGAAUAUUGGUCAAUGGAGGAAACUCUGAACCAGCAACGCCGCGUGAAUGAUGAAGGUCUUCGGAUUGUAAAGUUCUUUUCUAAGGGAAGAAGAUAGUGACGGUACCUUAGGAAUAAGCCUCGGCUAACUACGUGCCAGCAGCCGCGGUAAUACGUAGGAGGCAAGCGUUAUCCGGAAUGACUGGGCGUAAAGGGUGCGUAGGUGGUUUGGCAAGUUAGUAGCGUAACCCCGGGGCUCAACCUCGGAACUACUACUAAAACUGUCGGACUUGAGUGCAGGAGGGGCAAUUGGAAUUCCUA
rnacentral:rRNA from 1 species